rnacentral:rRNA from 1 species
GACGAACCGUGCAAGCGUUGUUCGGAAUCACUGGGCUUAAAGGGCGCGUAGGCGGGUCAGCAAGUCCGGGGUGAAAGCUUUCGGCUCAACCGGAAAAGGGCCUUGGAUACUGCUGGUCUGGAGGAAGGUAGGGGCGUGUGGAACUUCCGGUGGAGCGGUGAAAUGCGUAGAUAUCGGAAGGAACGCCGGUGGCGAAAGCGACACGCUGGACCUUUUCUGACGCUGAGGCGCGAAAGCCAGGGGAGCAAACGGG